CCUCGGGAAAGCCUUCUUCGGGGGGUGAGUACAGUGGCGGACGGGUGAGUAACGCGUGGGUAACCUGCCUUCGAGUUGGGAAUAACAUCCCCAACGGGGUGCUAAUACCGAAUGAUGUGACGCGGCGCAAGCUGUCGUCUUCAAAGGUGGCCUCUGCAUGCAAGCUGCCGCUCGAAGAUGGGCCCGCGUCGUAUUAGCUAGUUGGUAGGGUAACGGCCUACCAAGGCGACGAUGCGUAGCCGGCCUGAGAGGGUGAACGGCCACACUGGAACUGAGACAAGGUCCAGUCCCCUACGGGGGCCAGCAGUCUAGAAACUUGCACAAUCGACGAAAGUUGGAUGCAGCGACGCCACGUGGAGGAUGAAGCCCCUCGGGGUGUAAACUCCUGUCAGAAGGGAAGAAGGCUUUCCCGAGGGGGAAGAAGGCUUUCCAGAGGGG
rnacentral:rRNA from 1 species